ACUCAAAUGAAUAGACGGGGGCCCGCACAAGCGGAGGAACAUGUGGUUUAAUUCGAUGAUACGCGAGGAACCUUACCUGGGCUAGAACGCUUCUGGAGUGUACGGGAAACCGUACAGCCCUUCGGGGCCGGGAGCGAGGUGCUGCAUGGUUGUCGUCAGCUCGUGCCGUGAGGUGUCGGGUUAAGUCCCAUAACGAGCGCAACCCCUACUGCUAGUUGCCAGCGCGUAAAGGCGGGAACUCUAGCGGGACUGCCGGCGUAAGCCGAGAGGAGGGUGGGGAUGACGUCAAAUCAGCACGGCCCUUACGUCCAGGGCUACACACGUGUUACAAUGGCCGGUACAGAGGGCAGCUACCUGGCAACAGGAUGCGAAUCUCGAAAGCCGGUCCCAGUUCGGAUUGGGGUCUGCAACCCGACCCCAUGAAGUUGGAUUCGCUAGUAAUCGCGCAUCAGCCACGGCGCGGUGAAUACGUUCCCGGGCCUUGUACACACCGCCCGU
rnacentral:rRNA from 1 species